rnacentral:rRNA from 1 species
GUGCCAGCCGCCGCGGUAAGACAGAGGGUGCAAACGUUGUUCGGAAUUACUGGGCGUAAAGCGCGUGUAGGCAGCCGUGCAAGUCGGGUGUGAAAGCCCUGGGCUCAACCUAGGAAGUGCACUCGAAACUGCAAGGCUGGAGUCCUGGAGAGGAAAGCGGAAUUCUCGGUGUAGAGGUGAAAUUCGUAGAUAUCGAGAGGAACACCGGUGGCGAAGGCGGCUUUCUGGACAGUGACUGACGCUGAGACGCGAAAGCGUGGGGAGCAAACAGGAUUAGAUACCCUCGUAGUCC